UUAAAAAAUUAAAAUCUUUUUUUAGUCAAGAAUGAUUUCCUUGUGCGUAAAUGUCACUCAACAAAAACCAUUGAACUUAUUAGAAAGAAGAAUGAAGAUACGAUACAAUCUUAUGUUCAUGGCUUUAUUUAUCUGCUUAAAAAACAUAUAUUUUUGCCCAAAUUCCAGCGAAUGACAGCAGGAAUUUUGUUGUUUUGACUUUCAUCCAUGCAGUGGUCCAAUAGAGUCAAAUUCAGAAUGUUUAAUAGUUUUACUCGCAGUAGAAAAUAUUGCUCGAUAGCUAAUUAACUAAGCAUGUUCUCUGGCUUGCAUGCUUAUGGGUCAGUUUCUAUAAGUAUUUGUGGCUACUAUAAUAUAGCUACUGUCUCUUUUCAAAACCAUUGAAAAAAGACAGUUAUCGUUGCCCGUA